UCUUCAGUGAGGUACAUCCUUACCUGUUACUCCUUCCGAGGAGUUGCAGAAUAUGAUGAAUGGAGAUCAAUGAGAGAUGAUUAUUGUCUCUGACUUAUUGGGAACGACAACACCCAGUAACGUCCAUUCUGAU